UCAAGCUACUAAGAGCAUACGGCGGAUGCCUAGGCGCCAAGAGCCGAAGAAGGACGGGGUAAGCUCCGAAAAGCCAGGGGGAACUGCAAGCAAGUAUUGAUCCCUGGAUGUCCGAAUGGGGGAACCCAGCAGUGGUUAUGCACUGUUACCCAUGCCUUAGAGUAUGGGAGGUAGACCCGGGGAACUGAAACAUCUAAGUACCCGGAGGAAAAGUAAUCAAGUGAGAUUCCCUAAGUAGCGGCGAGCGAACCGGGAAGAGCCCAAACCAGUGGACUUCGGUCUGCUGGGGUUGAGGACCAGCACAAUUCAAAUCAGGCUUAGUUGAACUACCUGGAAAGGUAGGCCACAGAAGGUAAAAGCCCUGUAAGCGAAAGGCAGAGUUUGAUGGCUGGAAUCCAGAGUACCACGAGACACGAGAAACCUUGUGGGAAGCAGGGGGGACCACCCUCCAAGGCAAAAUACUCCUUGGCGACCGAUAGCGAAUAGUACCGUGAGGGAAAGGUGAAAAGCACCCCGGGAGGGGAGUGAAAAAGUACCUGAAACCGUAUGUUUACAAGCAGUCGAAGAUCCAUAUGUGAUCGACGGCGUGCCUAUUGAAGAAUGAACCGGCGAGUUACGGUAACUAGCAAGGUUAAGCGGAAAACGUGGAGCCGAAGCGAAAGCGAGUCUUAAUAGGGCGAGUUAGUUAGUUAUUGUAGACCCGAAACCGCAGUGAUCUAUCCAUGGCCAGGUUGAAGCGCAGGUAAAAUUGCGUGGAGGACCGAACCCGUGAGCGUUGAAAAGCUUUGGGAUGAGUUGUGGAUAGGGGUGAAAUGCCAAUCGAACGCGGAGAUAGCUGGUUCUCCCCGAAAUAGCUUUAGGGCUAGCCUCAAGUGUUAAGUACAGACGGUAGAGCUCUGAUAGGGCUAGGGGCCAUAUCGGUUACCGAACUCUGUCAAACUGCGAAUGGCUGUACUAGAAAACUUGGGAGUCAGACUGCGAGUGAUAAGAUCCGUAGUCAAGAGGGAAACAGCCCAGACCAUCAGCUAAGGUCCCAAAUGCCGUGCUAAGUGGCAAAGGAUGUGAAACUUCAAAAACAACCAGGAUGUUGGCUUAGAAGCAGCCACCAUUUAAAGAGUGCGUAAUAGCUCACUGGUCGAGAGGUUUUGCGCCGAAGAUGUCCGGGGCUAAAGCACGGAACCGAAGCUAUGGCAUGUCUAACGACAUGGGUAGGGGAGCGUUCUUAUCGGGUCGAAGCAUGACCGGAAGGACAUGUGGACUGGUAAGAAGUGAGAAUGCCGGUAUGAGUAGCGAAAAGACAAGUGAGAAUCUUGUCCACCGAAAGCCUAAGGGUUCCUGAGCAACGAUCGUCGACUCAGGGUAAGUCGGGACCUAAGCCGAGGCUAAGAAGCGUAGGCGAUGGACAACUGGUGAAGAUUCCAGUACCACCCGCAGUCGUUUGAGUGAUGGAGUGACACAGAAGGAAGGUUAAGCGCGAGGAUGGAAAUUCGCGUCUAAGCUGGUAGGGUGUGUUGUAGGCAAAUCCGCAACAUGUGAAGCCUGAGAAGUGAUGGGUAGCUGAUAGAGAUAUUGGUGAACUUAACUGAACCACGCUGUCAAGAAAAGCUUCUAGCGAGACUGAAGGGUGCCCGUACCGUAAACCGACACAGGUAGGCGGGGAGAGAAUCCUAAGGUGCGCGGGAAAACCCUCGUUAAGGAACUCGGCAAAAUGUCCCCGUAACUUCGGGAAAAGGGGAGCCUUGGUUUGUGUAGUCUCAUGCAGAUGAAGCAGAUUGAGGUCGCAGAAGAGAGGCCCAAGCGACUGUUUACCACAAACACAGGUGCCUGCUAAAGCGAAAGCUGACGUAUAGGUGCUGACACCUGCCCGGUGCUGGAAGGUUAAGGGGAGUGCUUAGGCGCAAGCUGAAGGUAUGAACUGAAGCCCCAGUAAACGGCGGCCGUAACUAUAACGGUCCUAAGGUAGCGAAAUUCCUUGUCGGGUAAGUUCCGACCCGCACGAAAGGUGUAACGACUUGGGCACUGUCUCAACGAGGGACCCGGUGAAAUUGAAAUACCUGUGAAGAUGCAGGUUACCCGCGACUGGACAGAAAGACCCCAUGGAGCUUUACUGCAGCCUGACAUUGGAUUUUGGUAAAUGAUGUACAGGAUAGGUGGGAGACUGAGAGAAUGGGACGCAAGUCUUAUUGGAGUCGAUGUUGGGAUACCACCCUUUAUUUACUGGAAUUCUAACUUGAGUAGUAACGACACUAAGGACAGUGUCAGGUGGGCAGUUUGACUGGGGCGGUCGCCUCCGAAAGAGUAACGGAGGCGCCCAAAGGUUCCCUCAGCGCGGUUGGAAAUCGCGCGCAGAGUGUAAAGGCAGAAGGGAGCUUGACUGCAAGACGUACAGGUCGAGCAGGGACGAAAGUCGGGCUUAGUGAUCCGGUGGUACCGAGUGGAAGGGCCAUCGCUCAACGGAUAAAAGCUACCCUGGGGAUAACAGGCUAAUCUCUCCCAAGAGUCCAUAUCGACGGGGAGGUUUGGCACCUCGAUGUCGGCUCAUCACAUCCUGGGGCUGAAGUAGGUCCCAAGGGUUGGGCUGUUCGCCCAUUAAAGUGGUACGUGAGCUGGGUUCAGAACGUCGUGAGACAGUUCGGUCCCUAUCCAUCGCGGGCGUAAGAGACUUGAAGGGAACUGCUCCUAGUACGAGAGGACCGGAGUGGACGAACCAAUGGUGUACCAGUUAUUCCGCCAGGAGUACAGCUGGGUAGCUACGUUCGGAAAGGAUAAACGCUGAAAGCAUCUAAGCGUGAAACCAGCCUUAAGAUGAGGUCUCUCAUAGAGCAAUCUAGUAAGACCCCUUGUAGACGACAAGGUUGAUAGGCCAGGUGUGUAAGUCCAGUAAUGGAUUCAGCUGACUGGUACUAAUAGGUCGAGGGCUUGACU
rnacentral:rRNA from 1 species